AUCUGAGACUAAACACUGGCCCGCACUCUUCGCACGUCUCUCAUGAAAUCGCCGAUGGCGACCAGCGCCGUGAGCGGGUGCUCCCUUUUCCGCUCCGCUCCUCCGCCUAUUGUCCUCCUCUCCCUCCGCAUCUUCCACUCCCGCCCUUCCACUCUCUGCGGAAGCCUUCCUCGGUUCCUCCAAGAUUUCGGUUGGAUGGCCUCGUCUUCCGAUAUGAUGGCAGGGGCCGGAGCUGUUGCGCCCACAGCCUCGUCGACUCCGUCAUGGCGGAGUUGGCAGAAAUCGCGCCAGCGGGCCAAUUCGUGCGUGUAUCAAAAUGGUACUAUGUCCUCUAUAAGGCCUCAGCAAGUCACAUAUAUUGUACCUGGUAUCGAAGAUUUUGACCAUACAAACAUUGCUGAGUUUAUUCAAAAAGCUCGGCAUCUUUUGGAUCCAUCAAUCCUGGAGUGUGGUUGGGUGGAGCUUUUGGAAAAGAAAAAGUCAGUGACAGCUAAGGUGUAAGCAGAGGUGCACUUUAAAUAAAAAAAAAUUCUUCCAUGUUUUGCACCUUUCCUAUCUUUAAUAAAUAUAAGUAUCAUUUGCUUCGGAUCAUAUGUGGUAGCAGGGAUCCUCUUGAAAGCUACUGUGCUUAUCUUUUGUUGUCAAGAGAUGAAAUAUAUGUUAAUGCGAUUGAGACAAUAGGAUCUUGUUCUGUUUAUGAGCCUUGACCUAGUUUUCAGGUAUUGUUUGUAUCAUGUCUGUCAUCUCUGCACUACAAUAAUUGAUGAGGUGGUAUGGGAAAGGCCAACUAGUUGGAGUGGUUGAUCCAAGUUAUGCAGUUUAGGAUUUAUUGUGUUUUUGUAUUUUCUUCAAUUCAUAGUAGAUUACCAUCUUUAUUCUCUUUUUUGGGUCACUGUUUCUACGAUAUUGUGCAGUCUUAUCCAAGUUUUCAGGUGCCUUUGUGUUUCUAUAUGCCCAUUCUUGGCAUAGAAUGCUAUGUGUUCUGGUCUUGCGCCGAUUUGACCUGGCAAGCAUCACACAAACUUCAGUUUGAUAUGCAUGGACUUUUGGUCAUCCCAGUUUAUACAUUGUUUCAGUUGAGAAAUCACUUUGUAUUUUCAUGUAUUAUUUAUGCCAAACAACUGAUAUUCUUUAUCUGAUAUUAGGUGGAGGAACUUUUACACAGGAAGUUUGUCAAGGAAGCAUCAGUGAAGGAACUUGAAGAAUUUGUCCAGUUAUUGAUGUCUGCAACGGCAAUGCCUCCACGCUCUAAACCUUCUAAAAGUUCAUGGACAAUAGAAGAAAAGGUCAAAUGGAGGAUUGAGGCUCAUGAGGCAUAUGCUAUAGAUGCAUACAGGAAUGAGGAACAAAAGAAAACAUCUGGAAAUGUAAUACAUCUGACACCAUAAGUGUGAAUUAAAUUUGUCCAGAUACUCAACGCAAUGGGACUAUUAACAACAUCAUCUGCUCCAGUGAUCCUGCUUCUAGAUAUUGGAUAUUUCCCUCUUGAUCUCUUAAAGUUCAACAUUCAUACUGAACAUAGUGAUGAAGUUUUGUCAGCUGCUGAAAGCCUUUUAAUGCUCUCUUCUGAUCCUGAUGAGGAAAGAUCCUACAUUUUGGAAACUCUAUGCAAUUGAUGUGGAUGAGGCUGACGAGCUUGAUGAUGCACUAAGUGCAGCUAGGCUGCCAGAUGGUCGGAUAAAAGUCUGGAUUCAUGUUGCUGAUCAUGCUUGCUUGGUUGAACCUCACAGCAUAAUUUGAGAGGGAAGCGAUGUGAAGAGGAACCUCAGUAUUUUUGCCUACUGCAACAUUUCCAAUGUUUCCAGAGAAGCUUGUUAUGGAGGGCAUGAGCUUGCUGCAAGGUAUACUUUGCAAGGCUGUCAGUGUUUCUGUUGCACCAAACAAAGAUGGCAGGUGAAAGCUUUUCUUAGAGGAGAACCUAUUUUCAGUUGGUCAAGUGGAAUGAAUGGCAUGUCUUGUGAGCAUGCAUGUUAGAGUAGGUAAGAGGCUCUACAACAGCAGUCUAAGAUAUUGGCUAUUAGAGUAUUUGAGAAGACAGCCAAGGGAAAGUUUCGUGCAUUGAUCCUUUGGUUUAUCAAGGAUCAGAUGGCAGCCUUGCUUCGUAUGGAGAUUAAUUAAUGUAAAGAGGCGAUCUAAGCAGAAGCCUCAUGACAAGGCCAGCAGAACAGGGCUGAGUUCUAUCAAUGAAAUCCAAAACAAAAGGCUAUCCUAUGACAUUACCCACCUAUUUAUGCUUAUGAUCAAUGAUUGGAUGAUUACUGUUACAUGAGAGUCCUGGUGUGGAGGUGCGUUACUAUAGGACCAUGGAUGUGGAAAUGAGGCCCUGUGAUCCUACUGAAUACCAUGAUCUCUACAGCUUUACGGAGACCCUGUUCUUCACCAGGAAACUCCAUACACUGCAGACCAGAUCCUCUGUACCCUGCAGGAUUACAGGCUUCAUAUGCACCUUCCCUUUAUCAUUGUCAAGAUGUAGUAAGGUUCUGCUUAUGGUGGAAUAGGGUGCUUGAUGAUUCAAACCUGUCUUCUGACUUGGACAUCGGCAUGGUUUUUCUUCUUUUGUUUUUAAAGAACAUGACAUUUAUAUGACCUUGCCAAAGAAAACUUGGUUCUUUUAAUUCA